rnacentral:tRNA from 1 species
GGGGUUGUAGCUCAGUGGUAGAGCACUUGCCUAGCAUGCAUGAGGCCCUGUGUUUGAUACUUAGCACCA